ACGUGUUUCGCCUUAACAGACUUCUUCAAGUAGAUAGUACUCUUUCCUACUAUCUACUUGAAGAAGCCUGUUAAGGCGAAACGCGUUUAGAUAUUAAU